rnacentral:rRNA from 1 species
UACGUAGGGGGCGAGCGUUAUCCGGAUUUAUUGGGCGUAAAGGGCACGCAGGCGGUCGUGCAAGUUCGAGGUGAAAGCUCCCGGCUCAACCGGGAAAAGGCCUCGAAGACUGCGCGACUUGAGAGCGAGAGAGGGACACGGAACUCCGCAUGGAGCAGUGACAUGCGUAGAUAUGCGGAAGAACACCGGUGGCGAAGGCGGCGACCUGGUCCUUGACUGACGCUGAGGCGCGAAAGCGUGGGGAGCAAACAGG